UACGUAGGGACCAAGCGUUGUUCGGAUUUACUGGGCGUAAAGGGCGCGUAGGCAGCGCGGUAAGUCACUUGUGAAAUCUCUGAGCUUAACUCAGAACGGCCAAGUGAUACUGCAGUGCUAGAGUGUGGAAGGGGCAAUCGGAAUUCUUGGUGUAGCGGUGAAAUGCGUAGAUAUCAAGAGGAACACCUGAGGUGAAGACGGGUUGCUGGGCCAACACUGACGCUGAUGCGCGAAAGCCAGGGGAGCAAACGGG
rnacentral:rRNA from 1 species